rnacentral:piRNA from 1 species
UGAGCAAUUCCAUGUGGAACCGGAGAAGG